UUGGAAGUUUAUAAGAUGCUGUAUAAUACAUAAAAUGUUAGAAAAAUAAAUCAGAACUUCUUUCUCCUACAGGUUUGUUGGGAGAAUAACAUAAUUCAAAUUUGAAAGGAGAGAAGAAAGUUGUUGGAAGAAGAAAGGGUGAUUCAGGCUUUCCUUCCCGAUGCCCCAACACAGCUGUUCUUAGUAUCUCUGCACUGAUGUAUCUUCACAUUCAUGUGACAUUUAUGAAGGGGAAACACAAGGCAUAAAGUUCAUAAAUGCGUAACUUGUUUUACGGAGUACACAUUUUCCUGUUGACUCAGGUAUUGUGUUCAUGUUUUAUUUUGUAGUCUUUUAAAGUGUGUCUGUACUAAGUGUGGCUCUAAGAUUGUCAGCUCUAAAGGGCUGUGUCUACAUGAUUCCUAUCAUGUAUAGAUGAGUUCUUAAUAAAUAUUUUUUGAUGAUGACGAUG
rnacentral:lncRNA from 1 species